rnacentral:rRNA from 1 species
AUUGAACGCUGGCGGCAGGCCUAACACAUGCAAGUCGAACGGUAACAGGAAGCAGCUUGCUGCUUCGCUGACGAGUGGCGGACGGGUGAGUAAUGUCUGGGAAACUGCCUGAUGGAGGGGGAUGACUACUGGAAACGGUAGCUAAUACCGCAUAACGUCGCAAGACCAAAGAGGGGGACCUUAGGGCCUCUUGCCAUCGGAUGUGCCCAGAUGGGAUUAGCUAGUAGGUGGGGUAACGGCUCACCUAGGCGACGAUCCCUAGCUGGUCUGAGAGGAUGACCAGCCACACUGGAACUGAGACACGGUCCAGACUCCUACGGGAGGCAGCAGUGGGGAAUAUUGCACAAUGGGCGCAAGCCUGAUGCAGCCAUGCCGCGUGUAUGAAGAAGGCCUUCGGGUUGUAAAGUACUUUCAGCGGGGAGGAAGGGAGUAAAGUUAAUACCUUUGCUCAUUGACGUUACCCGCAGAAGAAGCACCGGCUAACUCCGUGCCAGCAGCCGCGGUAAUACGGAGGGUGCAAGCGUUAAUCGGAAUUACUGGGCGUAAAGCGCACGCAGGCGGUUUGUUAAGUCAGAUGUGAAAUCCCCGGGCUCAACCUGGGAACUGCAUCUGAUACUGGCAAGCUUGAGUCUCGUAGAGGGGGGUAGAAU